rnacentral:rRNA from 1 species
AAUCCAGACUCCUACGGGAGGCAGCAGUGGGGGAUAUUGCACAAGGGGGGAAACCCUGAUGCAGCGACGCCGCGUGGGUGAAGAAGCGCCCCGGCGCGUAAAGCCCUUUCAGCAGGGAAGAAAAUGACGGUACCUGAAGAAGAAGCCCCGGCUGACUACGUGCCAGCAGCCGCGGUAAUACGUAGGGGGCAAGCGUUAUCCGGAUUUACUGGGUGUAAAGGGGGCGCAGACGGCGAUGCAAGCCAGGAGUGAAAGCCCGGGGCCCAACCCCGGGACUGCUCUGGAAACUGUACGGCUGGAGUGCAGGAGAGGUAAGUGGAAUUCCUAGUGUAGCGGUGAAAUGCGUAGAUAUUAGGAGGAACACCAGUGGCGAAGGCGGCUUACUGGACUGUAACUGACGUUGAGGCUCGAAAGCGUGGGGAGCAAACAGGAUUAGUUACCCGUGUA